rnacentral:rRNA from 1 species
UUAAGUAUAUUAUCGCACCUCCCCCUUUUGUGGCCGCCAGUAACCACAAAUAAGUAUUCCGCCUGGGGAGUACGACUGCAGGUUGAAACUCAAAGGAAUGACGGGGGCCCGCACAAGCAGUGGAUUAUGUGGUUUAAAUCGAAGCAACGCGAAGAACCUUUACCAGGGCUUGACAUCCUCUGACCGCUCUAGAGAUAGAGUUUCCCUUUCGGGGCAGAGAGACAGGUGGUGCAUGGUUGUCGUCAGCUCGUGUCGUGAGAUGUUUGGUUAAGUCCAAUAACGAGCGCAACCCCUAUGGUCAGUUGCCAUCAUUUAGUUGGGCACUCUGGCAAGACUGCCGCGGACAACGCGGAGGAAGGAGGGGACGACGUCAAAUCAUCAUGCCCGGUUAUGUCCUGGGCUACACACGUAAUACAAUGGCAACGACAGAGGGCAGCGGGCCCAAAAAGGGCAAGCAAAUCCCCAAACGUUGUCUCAGUUCGGACUGCAGGCUGCAACCCGCCUGCACGAAGUCGGAAUUGCUAGUAAUGGCAGGUCAGCAUACUGCCGUGAAUACGUUCCCGGGCCUUGUACACACCGCCCGUCACACCAUGAGAGUCUGCAAUACCCGAAGUCAGUAGCCUAACCGCAAGGAGGGCGCUGCCGAAGGUAGGGCCGAUAAUUGGGGUGAAGUCGUAACAA